rnacentral:rRNA from 1 species
UACGUAGGGACCGAGCGUUGUCCGGAAUCAUUGGGCGUAAAGAGCGUGUAGGCGGCUUGUUAAGUCUUGCGUGAAAUCUCGGGGCUCAACCCCGAGCGGUCGUGAGAAACUGGCAGGCUAGAGUGCGGGAGAGGAGAGUGGAAUUCCUGGUGUAGCGGUGAAAUGCGCAGAUAUCAGGAGGAACACCGGUGGCGAAGGCGGAUCUCUGGGCCAUUACUGACGCUGAGGAGCGAAAGCGUGGGGAGCAAACAGG